CCAGCUGGGCUCACCCCAAACACACUGGCAGGCCAGGACCAUGGGUGCAGUGGGGAGCUUCCUUCUCUAGUCCCCAGUGACAACACCGGACCUGCAGAUGACUUUUCUGAGCUACUCAGCCUCUCUGAAAUACCCCUGAUGAAUCAGCAGGGCUCAGGUGCUGCUGCACAAACCCUUCUUUCCCUUACCCAGCAGCAAUCAGCUUCAUGCUGGCAGGAUGAGUAUCUGCCUGGCAGUGCAAGAGGUUUCUCAGGUGCAUGAUGCCUCGUUUCCCAGGUGUGCUGGGCCUCUCAGGAAUGUCACUGUCUUCUCAGAAAAGGUGUGGUUUCCCUGCUUCCCCCCACCCCUGCCCCAGAUGAGAUUCCCCCAGGGAGCAAAGGUGGAGGUGCUCCCUGGAGGCACAGAGGAGUUAGGCUGACGUGUGUCAGUGUGGGGAUGUGGUAUCUUGCUCCAUUCCCUCCAACCCACCACCCUGGGGGUAGAAAGAGCUUUGUGGACUCCAGGCACUGUCCCAGGCUCUUUCCAGGACACUGAAAUUUCACAGCUUUAUCAGUUCCCAGGAAAAGCUCUGGAAUUUGCACUACACAAGGGCAGGGAGUUCUGACCAUUGAACAGGGCAUGGAAACUGAAACAGGGACAUGACUUUCACUGCAUUUCCUGCAGCUUGUGAUGUGAUCUGACACUAUUUCUAAGUACCUAGUCCUAACAUAAGAUCAGUUUUUCUCCUGGUCCAUGAUGGGCACCAGUGUAACUCAACGCUGUCCAGGAAAUUACUUUCAUGGCCACAAUUAAGGCCAAGAAAACCCCCAGAACUGAAGUGAGAGUGUUAUGGGAACCAUCUAAGCAGAGCCAACUGUAGUGCCAAGGAGACAUGGGAAGAUGCCUCCACUAAGGGCAGUCAGAGGAAAAUCCUGGACCUGGUUUAAAAUUCUCGCCCUCUUUUACCAGGGAACAAAAAUGGAUGAAAAUUCUGCAGGUUCAUUUGUCUUCCAUAAGUUUUUGCCAGGCUUUGGUUAUUCCUCCACUUGUUCAAAACAUUUGCAGUGUAAAAGGGCUGAGGCACCCAUCAGACACCCUGAGCAGCAUCCCCAGGCUGGAGAAGAAUGUCCUGAGUGGGAGCAUUUCGUCCUGGCUGCAGCCCUGGGGUUGAUUCUCAUCAGUCACCAAGUCCAAGGCUGCAGAGCAUGGUUUGUGGUAACAGCUGUUUAUGGUCGAGCCUCUCCAAUACCUGCAAAGCUGAGAUGUGUCAGCAGUGUUAUUCCUUUCCCUGCCUAAUCCCAGAUGGGAUCUACACAGGGACAUAAAAUAAACAACAGCAGGAAGGUGGAUGAGGUUUCUAUUGCUGUGAGCCUCCCUCCCUCAGACUGGCACCAGAGCUCUGAGGAGCAGCAAUCACAGAGCAGAGGUUGUACGUAAUUCACAAGGUGAAGGUGUUUUUUUGGCUGCAGGCAGGGAUGGCUGAAAACCUUCCAGUUGCCUUGCAGUAAUGUAUGCUCUGCUAGCUUGCACCCAAGCUAAACUCUCAGAUUUUUGCCUGAAGCCAAAUACUGCUCGGCCCUAUCAGGAGAAGCAACACAUCUCACAGCAUCAGUUCCUUAACAGUCCCCAGUGUCCUGUUUCAUUUCACAGGCUGGGCAAGACAGGAGCAGAGUGAAACCCAGAGUAACAGGGCACUUAGAGACGUUUGCUCAAUGGCAGAAGAUAUUCCAAAUUUCCAACUACAAACACAGACUGCCUUGAGCAAAGCUUCUGCUACACCACACACCUUGGGUGAAGAUUGGAACCUUUCUUCUGCCUGCACAAUGGAUUAUUUUCCCUCAUGUUUCUUAACUUAGUUACAAAACUCAUCACUUCGCAAAAAGUCUCCUUUUACUUGGAUAUUACUUUAAAGUGUUUUCAUAAAAGGAGUUUCACAACAAAGUUGAUUCACAUGUGUGCAUCUUCUAACAAGCUGAAGACAAAGAGUUUGGUGAACAUGCAGCAAAGGCAUGAAACAGGUUGUAUCUGUAAGUGGGCCAGAAGGCCAGUCCAUGAUUCCACAGCCAUCAGAACCAGGUAACCACUACCACAAAGUCAGCCUGGAUCAGCCUUGACUGUGCCCAAUCACACCUCUAUUUAUGGGGCUAACGCACCCAGAAAACAGAAAAUACAACCCCAGCUUGGAUGUUUGUGACACCAGGUGCCUUAAAGCUUUGCCUACAACUUCGACUCCCUGGCCUUUCCUGAGAGAUCUGAGCAGAAGGAAGGUUUGUGCUGGAUCAACACGUUGUGUUGUGCUGCCUCAGCACCUUUGAACUGAUACUGGGAAGCCAAAAGAGCUGAAUUUGCUGCAUCAAAAUGCUGCCUUGGAGCUGAUCUUAUUAAUUUGGCAGCGAGUGGAUUUUCCAUAAUUACGUUUCGUUGUCUUGGAGGAAUCACAGAAUCACACAGUGGGGAGCUUCCACUUGUCACGGGCAGAGACAGCACAGCCCAGGAGCAGCCAGCAGCAGACCAUGCCAGUGCCCUGACGUGCAGAAACACCAGGGAAAAUUGCAGCAAGGCACCCACACUUCCACCUGUGGCAAUGAGACUUUUUUGGAUGAGGAAAGACGAGCUCUGCUUGAGCUGGAGGAGGGUGGGUUGGGUCACCCACAUCUGUGCUGUGCUCCGAGCCAUGCCUGGGCUCCCAUCUCCACUGUGUCCAGGGAAUAAUUAUAUUUAUCUAGCUCUUGUCCCAUCACCCUGACCACCACCAGUGUUCUGAGGCCAGUCUGUGAGCACUGCACUGUGGACAGUGAGAGAAGCCAUAACAAAAGGAAUUUGUGGGGGGACUGCACUACACCCAGCUGCUCCCACAUCCCAGCCAGGACUGGAAGUGUUUGGAGCAGCCCCAUCCUCCUGCAAAGUCACUGCUUCUACACACAAGAGUUUUCAGCAACCUCUCCAUCUGCCUGCUUUUCUGGAAGAGCCUGGGAAGUCUUUCCCUUCAGAUGGAGGAGUAGGACUCCACGAACAGUAGCGUUCCCAGACAGCUGCAGCCCGACCUUCAUUUCUCAGGGGACAGAACUGCCUGUUAUUUAUUCAGACAUUUUGUUCCCAGCUUUUAUUGCUCUGUUUUAUAUGGUAGGCGAGGUCAGAGCCUUUGUAAUAUAGGAACAGCAUCGCCAAGAUUUCUCUCCAAAGGACAAGAAAUAUAAAAUAUGUUAUGGCAUAAAGAAAAGAAUGCUGUGUUUUUCACCUGGACACCUAUUUCAGCCAUGGGGAGAUGAAUAAAACUGGGAGUGGAUGGGGAAAAAAGGUUUUCAAUCUUUUUCAAUAUUUUCCUCUAUUUUUUACAACAUAAAAAGCAAUAUUGUUCUGGGGGUAAAUCACUGGUCUCUAGGUUGUGUGUGGACUAGUAUUAAUCUGUAAUUUCUCACAGAUUAAAAGCACAUAGAACAAGCUGAACAAAAAGCCAUCAAUUCUGUUUACAUAAGAAGUUAGGCUCUACAAGAGCUGCUCAAUUUUAAGUCACUUAACUUGCUGCAACUCACACAAUUCCCCCUCUGGUAAGCAAAUUUAGAUCUCUUUUAUCUUCUUUUAUCUAACUGGUUUG